UACGAAGGGGGCUAGCGUUGCUCGGAAUCACUGGGCGUAAAGGGUGCGUAGGCGGGUCUUUAAGUCAGAGGUGAAAUCCUGGAGCUCAACUCCAGAACUGCCUUUGAUACUGAGAAGCUUGAGUCCGGGAGAGGUGAGUGGAACUGCGAGUGUAGAGGUGAAAUUCGUAGAUAUUCGCAAGAACACCAGUGGCGAAGGCGGCUCACUGGCCCGGUACUGACGCUGAGGUGCGAAAGCGUGGGGAGCAAACA
rnacentral:rRNA from 1 species